GUUUCAACGUUGUACUGAUUAACAACCUCCGAUCCCUUUAUUUGUCCUUGCUUUGUUACUUGAGCGAUUUAUGGUUAGGAGGAGAAAAGGCGCCGAAUGUAAGUUCCCACCGGUGAAUGGACAUAGACAGUCGUGGCCGAUGCCAACCCAUGGUGUUUUGGUCCUGCAGAGAUUUAGCAAACUUUUGUUUCAUACUUUGGCCUUACUUGAUGGUGAAGGUGGCGUCAAGUUGUUAAUUUCAUGAGCUCCAUCGAUUUAGGAUGACGACACAGAACCCGCCGAUCCAUGCUUGGGAUCCUAUGAAGUUGAAGCCGGGCGCUAUCUGACGCCAAAAGCUAUUGCAAACGAUCGGUGCUGGAUGGAUCAGCUGGAUCUAGCAUAGCAAAGCAAGAAGAGAGGUGGACUGUUGGAGAUAUUGUCCUGAUCUGGUAUGUUAUGUUGCAGUGUUAAGAGAUGCAGACGGGCCCGGCUUGGCGACACUCCACCGGGAACUAACGGCUCACCACGAAACCGUCCAAAUCCAGUUGGAUAGGAACAACUGGUAGAUAUUCAAAAGGAAAUUUGAAGGAAUAGAUGAAGACAGUUGGGAGAUCUAGAAAAGAGUUGGACUUCUCAAAGGAAGAAUAAGACGAGGUUGGAGUUCAUGAUUGCUUUAAUUCCCCAUAAAAUUAGAGCCAUGUGAGUACAUUCCAUAGGAAUUUGGUAACCUUUAUGUGAUCUGUAUGUACACUAAAUUCGAUUGAAUAAACCAAAGCUGGCCACCUCCGACG